UACCAGCACCCCGAGUGGUCGGGACGAUUAUUGGGCCUAAAGCAUCCGUAGCCGGUUCUGCAAGUCCCCCGUUAAAUCCAGCUGCUCAACAGAUGGGCCGCGGAGGAUACUACAGAGCUAGGAGGCAGGAGAGGCAAGCGGUACUCAGUGGGUAGGGGUAAAAUCCGUUGAUCCAUUGAAGACCACCAGUGGCGAAGGCGGCUUGCCAGAAUGCGCUCGACGGUGAGGGAUGAGAGCUAGGGGAGCAAACGGG
rnacentral:rRNA from 1 species